UUUAACACAUUUCCAGACCCCAUAAUACCAUAGAAGAAGAAUUUAAUGCACACUUUACGAUUAGCUUGAAAAACUCGGGGAUAUUAUUACAAAUAUUGCCGCGUAUGUACGUCGGCAGAUUGAGUUAUCAUGUUCGUGAGGAAGAGAUCCAUAUGUUUUUUAGAAGUUACUGGAGGUUGAUCUGAAGAAUGGCUAAGUUGCUAGCUAGCUAACAGUAACGCUAGCUAGCAUGGGCGAAUUGGCGACUGCUGACUAGUAGCUGGAUUGUCAGCUGUUGUUGUUGACAUUUAGCCAACACAGUAGACCUACUGACCCGUCGUCAGCAUUGCUCCGUCUUCUCGCUCACGCACGAUCUAAUGUUGCAGGUACGGCUUUAUGGAGUUCGAUGACACGCGUGACGCCGACGACGCAGUUUAUUUGCUAAACGAGGCCACUGCAGGCAUGAGUUCGUGUUCCUUGAGGCGAAGAUGACUGCCUGUCCCGUUUUGCCUUGGCUUUCACCUUAAUGUGUGUGUGACCUUUGACGUAUGACCUCUUGGCUGACCUUACCGGAAGCCAUGAUGACGGCAGCCUUUUGCCAAUAGACAAAGGUGAUGACGGUAGUGGUUACAGCAGCCGAAGCCCCACUGGCCGGGAAAAGUAUGGGCCACCUGUACGCACAGACUACCGCCUUAUUGUGGACAACCUCCAGUCCAUGCAGCUGAAAACGGGUCAGAACAAGUUAUUUGUUUCAAGCACAAAAAAAUGUGCCUGUUAUUAAUUUAUACAAUAUAUUUUUGGUUGACAGGACUUCAUGCGCCAGGCCGGUUGAGGUGACAUAUGCCGACGCUCAUAAGGAGCGGCCCAACGAGGGGGUGAUUGCGUUCCGCUCCCGCUCGGACAUGAGGGCCCUGGACAAGCUGGAUGGCACCAACAUCAACUGGAGGAAGAUCUGCCUGGUGGAGGACAAGCCUUGCCACCGACGCUCCUACUCUGGCAGCUGCUUCUGGUCAGGAUAGUCCUGGGCCUACCACAUAAUGCAGCUGUUGGGUCCUUAUGGCCCUCCUGUGGAAGGGGUCUCGGAGCAGACAUCACUCUCGCAGCAGGAGCAGAAGUUUUGGCAGCCACUCCAGGUCUCGCUUACGGAAAGAAAACUGCCCUGCCAAAGAACUCCACUUCACAUGGCUGGAGUAGUUACAUAGAUGAAUACUUAGUUUAUCCCAGAGAGGAAAUGUCAUUGUAACACAACUAGUUUUAAUUUGUGUAUUUGUUCUCCACAGGUCACAGUCUCGUAGUACACACCGCUCUCGCUCCAGGUCCAACCAGAAAUCCCGUUCUAGAUCUGGGAAGAAGUCCCUCUCCAAGUCACUCAAAUCGCGUUCCAAGUCCCGCUCACGUUCUCGCACCAGGAAGUCCUGUUCUCACUCCCACAAGUCUCGCAGCCGCUCAGUGAGCAUCAAAUCCAGCUCUCACUCCGACACCCGCAUGUCUCGCUCCAAGAGCUAGUCUAAAGUAAAGUCUGAGCAGGAAUCCAGAAGCCACUCCAAAGAGAAGUCUGUCAGCAAGAAGUCCCAGAUUCGCUCCCCGACCCCCACAGAGAAUGGAAACAGAUCGGGCCAAGUCUGCCUCCAAGUCUCCCUCCCCACAAGAAGACCAUCACCAAUCGAAGUACCCCACCAUGCACUCAACCUCUCGCUCCCCCUCAUGCUCUAAAUCCUUCUCCCGUUCGCGAUCCAGGUUAACUUCCAAAAAUUAAAUUGCACUUGUUUUAGUAGGAAGUAUGGAAGAUGGUUUAAAAAUAAUUUACAAAUCGAAUGCAGUGUUUCAAUUUGUCCCACUCUGAGCAUUUGGUUUUAUUGAAGUUGGGAUUGUAGUGCUUUUUAACAUUGUUUUUUACUUUGAAUGAGAACCAGGCUAAAAGAUUGUAGAUUGCUGUGGAAUGCACUGUAGAGGAAUUGUUCUCAAUUUCCUUAUCUGUAUGAGAUUGCUUAUGCUUCAUGUUAUAGUUACUGGUUGAUGUUUGUUUCAAGAGGAAAUUAUUUAUUCUUAUUUGUAAUCUCUUCCUCACCAUCUUCUGCAUUGCUUUGAAUCUCUGGUAGUCCGGCAUUAAUUCAUGAUUGGUUAUAGCUAGAUGGCAAUGAUGUUAUGUUAUGACUAUCUUCACAAAUCAAAAAUAGAGGGAAAUGAAGAUCAUCAAUCAGAUAUUUUUCCAUAGAAAUUGUUUUCCCUAUGUUUGUUACUUUCCUUAAUGUUUUGAUUAUUAAUAUGCAUAUUAAUUUGGCAGAUUUAUUGGUUUCUUUGAUGCUGUCUGUAUAGAGUCUAGACAGUUGUGAUUGAGUAUUGACUAAUCAUACAGCUUUAGUAUAAUGUAUUACUACACUAAUUGCAAAGAGAAGAUGUAUGGAAAAUCAUGUCACUGUUUGCCCUGAGAAAUCUGAUUAUUUACCCUCUAAAUCAAUUAUAUUUUUGUAAGGAAAUGUGUUAAUCACUUGUUAAACAGUUUUGAUAUACAUUCGGGUCCAAAGUUAUUGGCACCCUUCAUGACAAAAAAAGACCUGUACUGAGCUAUAUUGUAUGCUCCAAAUAAAUGGGAAAGUUUUUACAAAUAAAUAUAUUUAUUUGUUUUUAAAUUUAGCCUUUAUUUAACUAUAGAAUUGCUCAGAGAAAGAUAUUUUGUUGUUUAACAAGUAAUCAAUACUCCGGCGCCCUCCCCUUGCGAGGAUUAUGGCACUAAACAAUUUCACUAAAAUGUUUUAUGAGUUUGGAGAACACAUUGGGAUGGAUCUUAGACCAUUCCUCCAUACAUUUUUUCCAGAUCCUUUAUAUCCUUUGGUCUGCGUUUAUGGACUGCCCUCUUCCAUUCAAACAAUAGGUUUUCAAUGUUGUUCAAGUCCGGAGACUGAGAUGGCCAAUGCAAAAUGUAGAUUUUUUGUUGUCUGUUAACCAUUUCUUUGUGGAUUUUGAAGUGUGCUUGGGGUUGUCUUGCUCGAAGAUCCACAAGUUUUGACUUCCUGCCAGAGGCAACCAGGUUUUUGGCUAAAAUGUCUAGCAAAAUAGCCCCAUAACAUCAAAGAUCCACCACUGUAUUUUAGAGUAGGUAUGAGAUUAUUUUCUGCAUAUGCAUCCUUCUUUAGAUGCCAAACCCACCACUGGGGUGAGGGGCCAAAGAGCUCUAUUUUCAUGUCAUCUGACCAUAGCACAGGUUCCAAUCCAACUGCCAAUACAUUUGUUGGUUGCUCUCCAUUAAUGCUUUUUUUCUCACCAACCCUUCCAAAGAGCCUAUUGGCUGUUAUGGAGGUAGCGUCUUAUUGGAGGAGGCAGCUAAUUGUAGAUUUGGAGACCCAAAGAUGCAACCAAGUUCUGUAGUUCUCCAACUUUUUUCUUUGCCUCCCAAACCAUCUUCUUCACUGUGCGUGGGGACAAGAUACACUUGCUUCCAAUACCAGGCAAGGUUCCCGCUGUGCAAGGUCACAAUACAGUUCCUUAAGCUGUGAUUCACUUUAAAAAGUAGAAUGUCAAUGCAGAUUUUAAGAUUCUCAGGGAUGCCAAUAAUUACAUACGCAAGAAUCUUCUCUGUGAAUUUACAC